rnacentral:rRNA from 1 species
AGAUUGAACGCUGGCGGCAUGCUUUAACACAUGCAAGUCGAACGGCAGCACAGCAGAGCUUGCUCUGUGGGUGGCGAGUGGCGGACGGGUGAGUAAUGCAUCGGGACCUACCCAGACGUGGGGGAUAACGUAGGGAAACUUACGCUAAUACCGCAUACGUCCUACGGGAGAAAGCGGGGGAUCGCAAGACCUCGCGCGGUUGGAUGGACCGAUGUGCGAUUAGCUAGUUGGUAAGGUAACGGCUUACCAAGGCGACGAUCGCUAGCUGGUCUGAGAGGAUGAUCAGCCACACUGGGACUGAGACACGGCCCAGACUCCUACGGGAGGCAGCAGUGGGGAAUAUUGGACAAUGGGCGCAAGCCUGAUCCAGCAAUGCCGCGUGUGUGAAGAAGGCCCUCGGGUUGUAAAGCACUUUUAUCAGGAGCGAAAUCUGCAAGGUUAAUACCUUUGCAGUCUGACGGUACCUGAGGAAUAAGCACCGG